rnacentral:rRNA from 1 species
AACGAACGCUGGCGGCAUGCCUAACACAUGCAAGUCGAACGAGACCUUCGGGUCUAGUGGCGCACGGGUGCGUAACGCGUGGGAAUCUGCCCUUGGGUUCGGAAUAACAGUUAGAAAUGACUGCUAAUACCGGAUGAUGACGUAAGUCCAAAGAUUUACCGCCCAAGGAUGAGCCCGCGUAGGAUUAGCUUGUUGGUGAGGUAAAAGCUCACCAAGGCGACGAUCCUUAGCUGGUCUGAGAGGAUGAUCAGCCACACUGGGACUGAGACACGGCCCAGACUCCUACGGGAGGCAGCAGUGGGGAAUAUUGGACAAUGGGCGAAAGCCUGAUCCAGCAAUGCCGCGUGAGUGAUGAAGGCCUUAGGGUUGUAAAGCUCUUUUACCCGGGAUGAUAAUGACAGUACCGGGAGAAUAAGCCCCGGCUAACUCCGUGCCAGCAGCCGCAGUAAGAC